UACGUAGGGUGCUAGCGUUAAUCGGAGUUACUGGGCGUAAAGCGUGCGCAGGCUGUUGCGUAAGACAGAUGUGAAAUCCCCGGGCUCAACCUAGGAAUUGCAUUUGUGACUGCGCAGCUAGAGUGCGGCAGAGGGGGAUGGAAUUCCGCGUGUAGCAGUGAAAUGCGUAGAUAUGCGGAGGAACACCGAUGGCGAAGGCAGGUCUCUGGGUCAAUACUGACACUGAGGGACGAAAGCUAGGGGAGCGAAAGGG
rnacentral:rRNA from 1 species